AAUGAGGUGUUGAAUCAAUGUUUAUCAAAUGAACAGUUGUUCAGAAGAGUAUGCCAACGCCUCAUAGAUUAACUGUGUGGUUUCCUUUACUCAUAGAACUACCUGUUAGAUCUGUGGGAAAGAACUACAAGACAGAG